GGCUUGGUGGCUGAGUGGUAAAGCGCUUGGCAUCCGAACCGGAGUGUCCCGGGUUCGAAUCCUGGUGAAGACU
rnacentral:tRNA from 1 species